ACAAUCAAUGAAAAUUAUUAAAGGAGAAAUGGGAACGAGACAGAGAAAUGUGCAUGGUUCCUGUAAAAGGAUGAUACACAGAUCUGUGAAGCACUCUCCCUCCUC